GAUACAUUAUAAUAUUUUCAACAAACUUCAAGCAAGGAUGAUUCUCAGAACAAGAUAAAGACUCACGAUUAAUAAUAUUUUAGAGUGAGACCAAAAUGGCGACAUUUUUCCUGUGCAUUAAAAGUUAAUACAGAUUCCUAUCGGAAUAGCCUUGCAUGUGACUAGCUUGCUAAUUUAUUAUCGAAAGCCGUGCAAAGACACAAUGUAACAGUCGAUGAAUUGUCUGGUUUGACCCUGGGAGGAAAAGUGUGGGAGUAGAAAGCUCCCAGCUUUCCAAAGGUCCCUCCAGUGCAGAGGCGAGAAGAGCCUUUUCCAUACGGACGGCUGUUGGUGAAGUGGGUUCCUGCAGGGGAAAAAUAGAGCCCAACAUGGCGAAAUCCAACAUUCCUAGAGCAAGGACCAGCUUACCCUUACGAGCACUGUCUCGGGAAUCACUCUGUUCGGCGCGGGCACCUGAGCUUUAUGUAGAGCAGUGUUGUUUGCGAAAUAAACGUGGUUUUGUUUCUGACCCAAAUAAAUAUUAUUCAGACAAAAAUAUCCUCCCCAUAGCAGUGCCUGUAAGCAUGCCUGCAGCUCAGCACCUAACGUUAUGGACACAAAAGGCGGAUCGUUUGCAUCCUUGGUAUUUUCAACGCUGAAACUGUCACAGCUCAUAAGACAUAUUGGGAUUUGCCAAUUCACUGCAGGUUUUAAAACCUUGAUAAGGAAAAUAGAAGGGGCUGGAGGUUACGUGGGUAUCGGAUACGUGUGUGUGUAUCUGUUCACUUAAUGAUCACAUGGCUUGGGUCUUUUUUAACAAAUAAUCGUUUCUUAA